UACGUAGGGUGCAAGCGUUAUCCGGAUUCACUGGGUUUAAAGGGUGCGUAGGUGGGUCUGUAAGUCAGUGGUGAAAUCCCCGAGCUUAACUUGGGAACUGCCGUUGAUACUAUAGAUCUUGAAUAUCGUGGAGGUAAGCGGAAUAUGUCAUGUAGCGGUGAAAUGCUUAGAUAUGACAUAGAAUACCUAUUGCGAAGGCAGCUUACUACGCAGAUAUUGACGCUCAUGCACGAAAGCGUGGGGAUCAAACAGG
rnacentral:rRNA from 1 species